CGGGCUGUGGUGUAACAGUAGCACGCAUCGUUCGGGUCGAUGUAGCCCGAGUGCAAAUCUCGGCAGCCCGACCA
rnacentral:tRNA from 1 species